AUGAACAUCCAAUGUAACGGGUAGAUUAAGUGAUUUUAUGUGAAU
rnacentral:guide_RNA from 1 species